UACGAGGGGGGCGAGCGUUGUUCGGAAUUAUUGGGCGUAAAGGGUGCGUAGGCGGUUUGGUAAGUCUUAUGUGAAAUCUAUGGGCUCAACUCAUAGACUGCAUGAGAAACUGCCGGGCUUGAGUAUGGGAGAGGUGAGUGGAAUUCCUGGUGUAGCGGUGAAAUGCGUAGAUAUCAGGAGGAACACCUGUGGCGAAGGCGGGUCUCUGGGCCAUUACUGACGCUGAGGAGCGAAAGCGUGGGGAGCGAACAGG
rnacentral:rRNA from 1 species